GAUGAACGCUAGCGGCAGGCCUAAUACAUGCAAGUCGAGGGGUAGAGGAAGCUUGCUUUCUUGAGACCGGCGCACGGGUGCGUAACGCGUACGCAACCUACCUUUAUCAGGGGGAUAGCCCGGAGAAAUCCGGAUUAACACCGCAUAAAAUCACAGAACAGCAUUGUUUCAUGAUCAAAUAUUUAUAGGAUAAAGAUGGGCAUGCGUGCCAUUAGCUAGUUGGCGGGGUAACGGCCCACCAAGGCGACGAUGGCUAGGGGCUCUGAGAGGAGAAUCCCCCACACUGGUACUGAGACACGGACCAGACUCCUACGGGAGGCAGCAGUAAGGAAUAUUGGUCAAUGGGGGCAACCCUGAACCAGCCAUGCCGCGUGCAGGAAGACUGCCCUAUGGGUUGUAAACUGCCUUUGUACGGGAAUAACCACUGGUAUGUAUACCAGCCUGAAUGUACCGUAAGAAUAAGGAUCGGCUAACUCCGUGCCAGCAGCCGCGGUAAUAC
rnacentral:rRNA from 1 species